ensembl:snoRNA SNORA66 Small nucleolar RNA SNORA66
GUGCAAACUCGAUCACUAGCUCUGCAUAAUGUGGCAGCGGCUAAGGGAACCAGGUUUGCUAGAGCAAUUGUGGUGACAGCAAUGCACCGACCUCAGAUGGCUACUGAGGUGCCCAUUCUGUCCCAGAACAACA